rnacentral:rRNA from 1 species
GAUGAACGCUGGCGGCGUGCCUAAUACAUGCAAGUCGAGCGAACGGACGAGAAGCUUGCUUCUCUGAUGUUAGCGGCGGACGGGUGAGUAACACGUGGAUACCCUACCUAUAAGACUGGGAUAACUUCGGGAAACCGGAUCUAAUACCGGAUGAUAUUUUGAACCGCAUGGUUCAAAAGUGAAAGACGGUCUUGCUGUCACUUAUAGAUGGAUCCGCGCUGCAUUAGCUAGUUGGUAAGGUAACGGCUUACCAAGGCAACGAUGCAUAGCCGACCUGAGAGGGUGAUCGGCCACACGGGAACUGGGACACGGUCCAGACUCCUACGGGAGGCAGCAGUAGGGAAUCUUCCGCAAUGGGCGAAAGCCUGACGGAGCAACGCCGCGUGAGUGAUGAAGGUCUUCGGAUCGUAAAACUCUGUUAUUAGGGAAGAACAUAUGUGUAAGUAACUGUGCACAUCUUGACGGUACCUAAUCAGAAAGCCACGGCUAACUACGUG